rnacentral:lncRNA from 1 species
CACACACACACACACACACACACGAGUGCAUCCUUUUUAAAGGGCAGAACAUAUGUGUGUGCGUGAUAUGUUUAUUCAGUUAUCGUUUGUAGGAAAAAAUUGUAUGCGUGGAAAUGUUUAUGGUUGAUAAAUGCAGCCAAGGAGAUUAAAGGGGUUUGGAUCGAUUCUGGGUGUAAAUGCUCAGACUAAAAAGAAACGGCAGCUUUGCACAGUGCGCUGGCCUUGCACUAGUUUUGUUUCUCAUUGGGGGAAAAGGAAUAGGUAAAAGAGAAAGAAGGAAAUGUACCUUUUUAUGGAAAGAGUAGACUGUAUGUUUGACAUUUUAGCUGUGACCUCUUUGUCGUACAAGGAAGGACAGAACAAAAGGUGCUGUUUGGUCCUGUGCCUCAGCUGAUGCCCCAGGGUGCCCCACUGUGUGCAGAGCCUCUGGCUAGAGUGUGCCCUCCGUGUAUUAGUAACCCUGUAUUCCAUUUUGUUAACGCCUAGCAGAUGGAACCUGCUAGGAGGCUGACUUUAUACUUAUUUAAAGCUUAUUUUAUGGUCAUUAAAAUGGCAGUUUCUGUGCAGCACUUUAUUGCGCAAAGAAAAGGUGCGAUUCAGUCGAGUAGCCCUUAGCUCAUCUUAAAAAGGAAUGGAUGGUUUAAAAAGGAAAAGAAAUCUUCGAAUGAAUAUGUUCACUGCUUGAAUUUGUAAAACAGCAGAAUUUCCAGUAUGCAACAGGCUGAAAGAGGGGGAAGGAAUGUGUUUUGUAUAAAAAUGGGAAGUGUGCGAUAUGAAAGUUUCCUUAUUAUUUAUCAACGGAAGAACUGGUGUCAGGGGGGAUGCUGUUCUCCCACACUGCAUUCUCCUCCCUAAUACCCACCUUUCUUUUCGUUACUUUAACCAGGCGGAUAUAAAAGCAUCCCCAUGUUCUUCCUUUUGUCAGGAUCGCUUCCCUGAAGUGAAUGCAGUCAGACAGGAAGCCAGAGACUGCACAGUCCACACCAUCAGCUCCCCUUCCCCUCUCAGCUCCUCUCUCCCAUGCCUAGCUGGUCUCUGCUUCUCUCCCCACCUGUCAUCCAGCCAAGGGUGAGGAGCCUGGUUAGAGCCCUGGCAAAUCCGUUUACACUACAGAGAUGUCACAAAGCAGGGAGACCAACCAGCUAGGCCAAAAAGGCCCCAGAGCCUCAGUCCUUCUCCAGCAGAGACUUUGCUCUCCGCCUUGUUUAACACGCUGUUCAACUCAGCCCGUAAUAUCUCAGUAAAAGACACUAUAGACACUUCUGGACAAUAUGCCCCAAGGUCACUGGGUUUAUGGGUGGGUUUGUUGUGUUUUAUUUGCUUUUGGUUUUUGUUUUAAAUUCAUGUCUUUAUCCCCAUUUAAUGGAGAAUGUGCCACUUGGCUAAUAAUGUGUUUUCAAAACUGCAGGUUCAGUGAUAAGAGACAAGGGAUCCCAGUGGUCUCCCCACCCCACCCCAGAGGUUGGCAGAAAGGUGACCCUCAGAUGCACUAGCAGGUUAGGAACCUGAGUGGGUGCCUGGUCACGAGGACCCUGGGUUUUACAGCAUGCCACUUGUGCAAUAAGAGGUCUUCGGGUGGGAACAUGAGCGAGUGAGGGAGGCGGAUGGAGACGUUUACUACUCAGAUGCCACGCAUUGCACCGCUUGCCACUGAACCUGUAUCUGAAUGACUUAGUGAUGCUUAAUGUAAUUGGGCAACUUUUUUAGCACUUUGGAAAGAGUCAUCAAUCUUUCUGGUAAAUUAUAAAAGGUUUUCUGAGUGAGAAAACGUGUGUUUGCAGUUUGUUUGACUUUUUAUAUUAUUGUUGUUGUUAUUAAUAAAGAAGAAAAUCUACAGCA